rnacentral:tRNA from 1 species
UACUGCUCCUAAAGGAUA